ACAUUGUCCAAGUUAAAGAUGCAAAUUUUGGUUCUGUCUUUAUUUUUCUUUUUCAUGUAAGCAAAAGAACGAAUUAGAGUGGGAAGACGAUCCAACUCGGACCCGUUAUCUUCAUUCUAUUCAACCGAUCCUCUCUUUUUCUUGUCAAAGCAGAUAGGGCAUGGCAACAGAUGAAAAUGCUGACAUGUCAGAUGCGAAGUCCCAGUUGAGUCAAUUGCAUGAGACAUGGAAGCAGGAGAUUGCAAAAAGCCAAUCCCAAGUGGAUGUAUUGCAAAAAGAACUUACAGAGUUAAAGUCUUGCAAUCAGGCUUCAGAUGGAAAUGCAAAAAAGGAGUUGGAGGUUCUUUGGCGAAGAGUCAAGACUGCUUCUACAUUGUUGACUUACUUAAAAUCAAAAGCUAGGCUCAUGGCUGUUCCUCAUCUAGCCCAUACAUCUUGUGGCAUCAAACAAUUAGAGGGGGUAGGCUUUGUUGACAAAAAUGGGAUACCAUUAUCUGGUUGGUCCAGCAAUGUUGAUCUUUCUUCAUUUGAUGACGCAGAUGAAGAAUCUUGGAUAGGAAUUAGGCAUCAGUAUGGUUCCUUAGAUGAACAAGAUGCAGCUUAUAUAGGUGAAAUGCUCAAGUCUGUACAGAUGGUCGCAGAUGUAAUGGAGGCCCUUGUCAAAAGGGUUGUAUUGGCUGAGUCAGAAACUGCAACAGAGAAGGAAAAAGUAAGUAUAAGUAAGGAAGAAAUUAAGCGGAAGUCUACCCAGUUAGAGAACAUGUCUAUGAAAUUACAGGAGAUGGAGCAUUUUGCUUUGAAUACAAAUAGUAUCCUAACUGAGAUGCGGCAGAGAGUUGAGGACUUGGUGGAAGAAACAACCAGACAGAGAGAACGAGCUGCUGAAAAUGAAGAAGAACUUUCUAGAGUGAAGCAGGAAUUUGAGUCUCUGAAAUCAUAUGUUAGUGGUCUAAUAACAGUAAGAGAAACCUUGCUUUCUUCAGAGAAGCAAUUUCAAACUAUUGAGAGGCUGUUUGAAAAGCUAGUUGCAAAGACUACUCAAUUAGAGGGUGAGAAAAUGCAGAAAGAGGCUGAAGUUCAGAAACUUAUGGAAGAGAAUGUCAGGUUGAAUGCACUGUGAUGCUCAACUUCUUGCAUUGAAUGAACAAUGUAAGGUAAUGGCCUUGAACGCUUCAAACAUGUAAAUGCCAAUGCACGUGACAGACUAGUUGCUUUGCGUUUUAUGCUGACCACUGGAGGCACUAAAAAGAAGGUUUAUCCAUAAACAUCAUUAAUGCCUUAAGUUUUAUUUUCUGGUGCCAUUUGUUGUUAAAAUUGAACGCAGAAAAAUACUUGUGCUUGGAAUGUAAACUUGGCUUGCUCUUUCACGGGGAAGAAAAAAAAAUGAGAAUGGGGUGUCUCUUUGCUGUAAAUGUUGGAGACCGAAUCACGAACCUCACAUCACA